ensembl:snRNA U12 U12 minor spliceosomal RNA
AUGCCUUAAACUUAUGAGUAAGGAAGAUAACGAUCUGGGGUGAUGCCCAAAUCCUCACUGCUAAUGUGAGAUGAAUUUUUGAGUGGGUAAAGGUCACCCCUAGGGUGACUCACCUAUUUUGUGGGAUGCCUGGGAGUUGUGAUCUGUCCA